rnacentral:rRNA from 1 species
UACGUAGGGUGCAAGCGUUGCCCGGAUUUAUUGGGCGUAAAGGGCGCGUAGGCGGCUCGUUGCGUCGGCUGUGAAAACCCGCAGCUCAACUGUGGGCUUGCAGCUGAUACGGGCGGGCUGGGAUUCGGUAGGGGAGACUGGAAUUCCUGGUGUAGCGGUGAAAUGCGCAGAUAUCAGGAGGAACACCGGUGGCGAAGGCGGGUCUCUGGGCCGAUAUCGACGCUGAGGAGCGAAAGCGUGGGGAGCGAACAGG